AUAGUUACAAGGAGCAAGGAAAGUUCUAUGUGUGGCGCAUGGUAUCGGGGUGAUGUAAUUUACCUGGUCUGCCUGUGUCGGGGUGCUUAUUGGACAGUGCGAAGCAUGUUUUGAUAGUAAUUAAUCGAGAAGACGGAUUUCAAAUUGACAUAUCCUUUACACAAACGUGAAUGACAACGAUAAUAGUGUCACCACCAAACAAUCGGACAUUCCCGAUUUUUGCCUCUCGCUGACAGCAUCCAAAAUAGCAAUAAGAUGUCAUGGGUGCAAAGGUUUUGUUCGCAAACUUCAUAGCAGGGCAGAUCACUCCUUUUCUAGUUGCAAUGCAGAUUGUUCCACCAGACUCUGCAAGCCCAUGUUUACAGACAACCAAGAUCGCCUUUGUAGUCGUACCAAAUGCAUGUGCUUUAAUUUAAAUUUUGAUAUAUAGACCAACCAAUGUGUAUAUGGUGUAAAAGGAUGCAACUUUAAGUAUUAUUUGAUAAUAUGUAUGUGACUUGUUGGAGAGGAUUUUUUGCUGAAUAGAUGAUUUUAAUAAAAUACUUAUGUAUAUCUUUCAAAG